ensembl:misc_RNA
GGGAGAGCGCCUCAUCUCUUCCAUUUUCCAGGUAUUCCUGAGAUGAUUUAUUGGAGCUCAAAGCUUUGGG